rnacentral:rRNA from 1 species
AUGGUCACCUGCCUCUCUGAUCUUAUAAGUGACCAUUCCCUAGAUUUCCUGGGUCUGCAAGAGACCAUGGAAAAAGAUUUCUCUCCCAAAUGCUUGAGGAGAAUCGACCCCUUCAACUUGUUCAUCUGGAACUGGAUUCCUUCUGAAGGUAAAUCCGGUGGUAUUCUGUGUGGAGUUAGACAAGACACUCUGGAGGUGGUCUCCUGUGACAAGGGCAAGUAUAUCUUGUAGCUGGUGGUCUUGGAUAGGAAGAAGAAUACCAAUUGGGGGUUGUUGGUGGUGUAUGGCUCUGCUCAUGAAGAACAUAAGGAGGAGUUCUUGCUUGAGCUUGCUACUAUGUGUAAUAACAUGCAUGUCCCUUAUAUAGUGGGUGGGGACUUUAAUAUUCUCAGGCACCCUGGGAAGAAAAAUAAAAAGAUGGCAAGCCAUAAGUCCACAGACCUAUUUAAUUCUAUUAUCAACACCCUUGGUCUUAGAGAGAUUCAUAUCAGUGGGGGUAAGUACACUUGGACGAACAACCAAGCUCACCCUACUUUGGAGAAGAUAGACCGUAUCCUGAUGUGUGAGGAGUGGGAGGACUUGCUUCCCCUGGUUUCUGUUAGGAAGCUGGUUUGUGAGAUCUCUGAUUAUAACCCUUUGUUGAUUAAUUCUGGGGAAGAGGGUCGAGAGGCUCCCAAACCGCGUGAAUUUCGUUUUGAUCUUUCUUGGAUCAAGGAUGAACUUCCUGCCUUUGGUCCAUAA